rnacentral:rRNA from 1 species
CGCGUAGGCGGCACGGCAAGUCGGGAGUGAAAGCCCGGGCUCAACCCCGGAGGGUCUCUCGAAACUGCCGAGCUAGAGUGCGGAAGAGGCAAUCGGAAUUCCCAGUGUAGCGGUGAAAUGCGUAGAUAUUGGGAAGAACACCUGAGGCGAAGGCGGAUUGCUGGGCCGACACUGACGCUGAGGCGCGAAAGCCAGGGAGCAAACG